rnacentral:misc_RNA from 1 species
GAUGAAGAACGUAGCGAAAUGCGAUAAGUAAUGUGAAUUGCAGAAUUCAGUGAAUCAUCGAAUCUUUGAACGCACAUUGCGCCCGCCAGUAUUCUGGCGGGCAUGCCUGUUCGAGCGUCAUUUCAACCAUCAAGCCCCCGGCUUGUGUUGGGGACCUGCGGCUGCCGCAGACCCUGAAAAGCAGUGGCGGGCUCGCUGUCACACCGAGCGUAGUAGCAUACAUCUCGCUCUGGGCGUGCUGCGGGUUCCGGCCGUUAAACCAACUUCAUAACCCAAGGUUGACCUCGGAUCAGGUAGGAAGACCCGCUGAACUUAAGCAUAUCAAUAAGCGGAGGA